AUGUAAUUGGCGGGAGUGCGUGACUAGAGACCGAAAUGCGUGACUGACACUUGAGAGUGACGGAUUCUGUGUUGGUUGGUUGGCUAAGUUGCUAGCUUAGCUUAGCUUAGCUGAAGCUAAUGCAACCUCAUCAAAGGUUGACAGCCACUCUGCUAGUGAUAGCACUUGAAUAAUCUUGUUGCAGAUAAUGUAGAGCAAUAGACAUUUUUAAAGCUAAAUCAAUGAAUUGCGCUCAGUUAUAAUUGUUGGAGAAAUAAUAUCACAGUGCCAUAAAAAGUUAAAUCCGAUGCCCCUCAGAUGUUUGUUUGAUUAGCUUGAAGACACACAGGCCGCCUUUACGUUACUCACUAGAAAUAAAAACAAUAUAACACACAGAGUAUAACAAAUAAUCAAUACGCCGAUAGCCAAAUAAGACAUUUUCUUACCUCCCACUUAAGUUCCUGAUCUUAUGAUCCAGGGAACUUACCAAACUCACUUAAAAGACCUCUUUUUUAUUUUAUUUUUAUUUUUUUAGAACCCUUAAAUGUUCACAAUGUCUAUGUGUAAGCGUCCGAUGAAGGCACGACUGACGGGGGAACAGUUUAGUCCACUGUCCAAGUCAAUUACAUCCCUUUGGCAGGUAUGCAGUGUACUGCCCGGGCAUGCGAGGUAUGGAAUGUGAGUGCUCUCCUUCAUGUAUGUGCAAUGUAAUUGGCCUGGUGGCAGCGCUAGGCUUGCACCACGCAGCCAACAGGGCUAAGAUGGUAACAGGGUGACAGGGGCUUGGCCGGUGAAUGAGAGGGGUUUGGGAAGAUGCCGGUGUCAUGGCGGUUUGGGUGGAUGAGUUUAGUCCUCCACUGGGAGAAGGACCACCAGUCUUCUCACGUCUCUCCUGAUAACCGUCAUGGGCAGCGAAGAACUCCUCUUCUUCUGGCCACCCGCCAGGGAUACAGGAAUUCCAGCCCACGUUGCGAUGUCAGCGUCCCUAACAAUCCCUUUACUGUCAGGAUAAACUGUCAGAAUCCGGCCCAGGCGAAACUGCCCUCUCAUAGCAUUUGGGUCAGCAAUCCAGACGAGGUCGACGACUUUGACGUUCCUCUCCGUCCGGUGCCACUUGUGUCGAAUGAACAGAUUUGGGCCUGCUAGUUCCCUCCACUUUGCCCAGAACCGGUCCACUCCGAUUUGAAUAGCCCUCAGACGACGCCAGGGAAGAGUGUCUAGGUCAAGCCCGCUGGUGUCUCCUCCAAGCGAUGCUCGACCCAGUAUGAGGGAGUUGGGUGUAAAGUACUCAACAGAGUCCUCCUGAUCUUGAGCUCUGGCAUCAAUUGGACGUUCGUUUGUCAGGUUGGCUGCCUGAUAGAACACAGUUUGGAGCUCCCCCCAUGUGAAGGACCCUGUAGUUCCUCCUAGGCUUAUCAGCGCCUUCUUUAAAAGCUUCACAGCUGCCUCCGCAGCUCCAUUCCGGUGGGGUGCAUCUGCAGGGUGAAAAUCCCACUUCCAUUCAGUCCCGUUCUUAGCAGCUACAUCUUCUAUAGACGCAGCCUGCAAGCAAGCCAGAUGUUUAUGCAGCUCAUGCAGAGCCGACUUGGCCCCAAUGAAGUUGGUGCCUCUGUCGGACCAUAGUUUUCCUGGAUGCCCCCUCAGAGCAACAAAGCGAGAGUAUGCUUGGAGGAAACUUUCUGCCGACUGGUCAUCGGUGAGGUCCGCAUGGACGGCUCUCGAGGCCAUACAACAGAAAACAAUGCCCCAGAACUUCUUGCUGGUCCUUCUUUUAACCGCGUCUUUCACCUCGAAGGGGCCAAAAAGGUUGAGGGUCGCAUUUUCGAACGGGCUUGCUCUACUGGUACGCUCUUGAGGGAGAUCACUCAUUACUUGCUGGCACGUCUUUGCUCGUUUCUUUCUGCAGGUGACACAGUUGUUUAGCGCCCUUUUUAACUGUUCUUCGUCCCUGCAUGAUCCAGGCUUUCCUCCUUGUCCGUAGAAGGGUAGAGGCAACACCUUCAUGGUUUUCUUCAUGUGCCUCCCUGGCCAGUAGGGUUGCAAGCCACGACUGGCAUGGGAUCAGCGGUACAGUCACUCGAUCUUCAUCCCAGCAUUGGAUUCUCCCUCCGCAGAGCAAGAGUCCUGUUUUUUCCUCUUCCUGGACAACCAGGCGAUCCAGACGUCAGCACACAGAGUUUGUCAGAUUCGGGUUCAUAUCCCAAUCCCAAUGCCUUAUUCUCCUCGUCCCGCAUCUGGUUGGGUCUUGGGCUCUGUUGAACUGACAUUGCUGGGGUCAGUGGGUUUCUCACUCCUCCCAUUUGGCCUGUCAGGGCCCAGGGCUUGAGGGAGAAGCCACCUGCUCUUAGGAUUUCUUCCACUCCUUCGGUCAUCCUAACCAGAGUUUGGAGAUCAUUAUGCGAUGUUAGAACAUCGUCCACAUAGCAGUCCUCUGUCAGAAUUCUAGCAGUCCUCUGUCAGAGUCCUCUGUCAGAGAAAAUAAACAUUUGCCACAUGUGUAUGCAAAGAAAGAGCUUUAUUAACAACACACAAACAACUACAUACAAAGUGAGGAUCUGCCCACAAUUGGGUAACGGCGGUUUAAAAACUACAGCUCAGUAAACUGUCCGUUUGCCUCCUUGGGGUUGUAGACCGUCACUGGCGCCGUGUUUUCCGAGGCAGGUCUGUUGUGCAGGCGCCUAGUGUGCGGGGCUCUGUAUUUCGGAGUCGCCUCUAACCGGGACUACACUCAGAAAUGGCGGCGACCGUACAAUCCACCCCGAGACCCCGCCAACAACGCCAUCCUCUCCGUCCGAUGUGAGCUCUACGGUGGCGGAUUUCCAGAGUUCCACCUCGUCAUCAGCCAGCACACUUUGUCUCGAUUCCAGCAGCUGUAAAAACAACAAUGAAUCAGUACUGUACGAUGCGUAUGGACACAACACAUCGAUCAAUGCACCUGAAAAAAGUCAGCAAAUAAACGCUGACCCUCUUCUCGCUCGACUCCGCGCUGAAU
ensembl:lncRNA